rnacentral:lncRNA from 1 species
CACGUGGCGCUCGGAGCUCCCUCCCGCCGCUCCCUUCCCUUUAUAGCUUCGUGUCCCCGCCCACUCCUCCCGCCGGGGCGCGCUGAUUGGCUCGGCGCCGGAAGGGGCGGGGCAAAAGGCGGAAGGAACUAAUGGGGGGGCGGGUUUGGGGGGGUCCCUCGCUGGGAGCACUAUAGGGGCGGCGGCGGCGCCUAUGGACGGGUGAGGGACCUCAUAGGAACCCCAUAAAGGCCCUCAGCCAUUAACAGGGACCCUAUAGGAAUCCCCACCGGGUUCUUUUCGCUUAUGAGGACCCUAUAGGAUCCUCACAGGGGUGCUCACUCACCCCCAUUCCCCUAUGGGAACCCUAUAAGGACCCCCAGUGGCCUUUAUUCCCUUAUAGUGACCCUAUAGAAACCCCAUAGGGGCCCUCACUGACACCCAUUCCCCUCUGGGAACCCCAUAGAGACCCCCAGUGGCCUUUAUUCCCCUAUAGGGGCCCUAUAGAAACCCCAUAGGGGCCUUCACAGACCCCCAUUCUCCCAUAGGAACCCCAUAAGGACUCCCAAAGUGGCCUUUAUUCCCUUAUAGUGACCCUAUAGAAACCUCAUAGGGGCCUUCACAGACCCCCAUUCUCCCAUAGGAACCCCAUAAGGGCCGAAAUGGCCUUUAUUCCCUUAUAGUGACCCUAUAGAAACCCCAUAGGGGCCCUUAUUGACCCCCCUUCUCCUAUAGGAACUCUAUAGGACCCCCAUAAGGACCCCCAGUGGCCUUCAGUCCCCUAUAGGGACCCCAUAGGGGCCAUCAGACCCCAAGAAGCCCUAUAGAAACCCCACAGGGGCCCUUAUUGACCCCCAUUCUCCUAUAGGGACUCUAUAGGACCCCCAUAAGGACCCCCAGUGGCCUUCAAUCCCCUAUAGGGACCCCAUAGGGGCCAUCAGACCCCGAGAAGCCCUAUAGAAACCCCAUGGGGACACCCAGCCGCCGUUGUUCUCCUAUAGGGACUCCAUAGAAACCCCAUAGGAGCUCUCAAUCCUAAACAGGAAUCCUAUAGGGAUCCUCAGUGGCCUCAAUUCCCUCAUAGGAACCCUAUAGGUGCCCCCUCCGGGCUCCAUUCCGCUAUAGGGACCCUAUAGGGACCCUCCAGUGACCUUAAUUCUCCUAUAGGAACCCCAUAGAGGCCCCAUAGAGGCCUUCAAUCCCUAACAGGACCCCUAUAGGGCCCCUCGAUUCCUACAAGGGGCCCUACUUGAUCCAAAUCCACGUAUCCCCUAUAGGGGACCCCCCCCAAAAAAGGGAAACCUAUAGGUCCCAGACAGACCCCUUUUCGGGUCCCCUAUUGGAAGUUGUGGGGCCGGGUUUGGCCCAUAGCAAAGGUCAGGGCUAAGAAUAGCUGUGGGGUGGGGGGGGGGGGGGGGG